rnacentral:rRNA from 1 species
UACGUAGGUGGCGAGCGUUGUCCGGAUUUACUGGGCGUAAAGCGCGCGUAGGUGGCUUUCCAAGUCCUGUCGUGAAAGGUCGCGGCCCAACUGCGACAGUGCGGAGGAUACUGGGGAGCUUGAGGGCAGCAGAGGCCGGUGGAAUUCCACGUGUAGCAGUGAAAUGCGUAGAGAUGUGGAGGAACACCGAUGGCGAAGGCAGCCUCCUGGGCCAGCACUGACGCUCAUGCACGAAAGCGUGGGGAGCAAACAGG